rnacentral:pre_miRNA from 1 species
UGUUAAAAAUUUUACUCAUUUCUACUAUUAAAAUUUAGUAUGACUGAUAGAAUAUUCAGAGAAGUAGUGUUGACAUACAAAUAUCAAUUUUUAAUAGUAGAAAUGAAUGAAAUUUUUAAUA